GCCUCGAUAGCUCAGUUGAGAGCGUGAGACUGAAGAUCUGAAGGUCCCUGGUUCGAUCCCGGGUCGCGGCA
rnacentral:tRNA from 1 species